rnacentral:rRNA from 1 species
GUCUGUGGCCACACCACCCUGAAAGCGCCUGAUCUCAUCUGAUCUCGGAAGCUAAGCAGGGUCGGGCCUGGUUAGGACUUGGAUGGGAGAAACUUUCUGCACCUCAGGAGAUACCUGAUGGGCAUCACCAUCU